UACGGAGGGUGCGAACGUUAAUCGGAAUCACUGGGCGUAAAGCGCGCGUAGGCGGUUCGUUAAGUGGGAUGUGAAAUCCCCGGGCUUAACCUGGGAAUUGCAUUUCAAACUGGCCGACUAGAGUACGGUAGAGGGAGGUAGAAUUUCCUGUGUAGCGGUGAAAUGCGUAGAUAUCGGGAGGAACAUCAGUGGCGAAGGCGACCACCUGGACGGAGACUGACGCUGAGGCGCGAGAGCGUGGGGAGCAAACAGG
rnacentral:rRNA from 1 species